UACAGAGGGUGCAAGCGUUACUCGGAGUUACUGGGCGUAAAGAGCACGUAGGCGGUUGAAUAAGUCAGUUGUGAAAUCCCUGGGCUUAACCUGGGAACUGCAAUUGAGACUGUAUGACUAGAGUCGAAGAGAGGGAAGCGGAAUUUCCGGUGUAGCGGUGAAAUGCGUAGAUAUCGGAAGGAACAUCUGUGGCGAAGGCGGCUGCCUGGCUUCAGACUGACGCUGAGGUGCGAAAGCGUGGGUAGCGAACAGG
rnacentral:rRNA from 1 species